GUUAAGGGAAGGAUUCACUCCUGUCCAUCACUGCUUGAGUGCUGCUGGAGUGUGGAAUGGAGUUCUAAUUCCCUGGCAUUUCUCACCUGCCCAUGAAGGCCUCGGCAAAUAGAAAACCAGCAGGCCAAUAGAUGCAGGUGCUGGUAGUUGCAAGUCAGGUUAAAGCAAUGGUACCAAGGGGAGGGGAUGGGGCAGAGACAGCGUCUCUUACCCCGGAUGAAGGACGGCUUCCCUGCUGUUAUGUGUUUGGGACCUGGGACGCUUUCAGAUGCCCUUGAGGAUCUUUAUUGAGUAUGUAUCUAUCUGUCUGUUCCCUUAUGUCUGUAGAUUGUCCCCAGCUACGGAAAACAAGCUCCGGCUGCAUUACCGUAGGGCCCUCAGGAACAAUACAGAUCCCUACAAGCGGGCCGUGUACUGUAUCAUUGGCAGAUGUGACGUCACCGACAACCAGAGUGAAGUGGCGGACAAAACUGAGGAUUACCUGUGGCUGAAGUUGAACCAAGUGUGUUUUGACGACGAUGGCACCAGCUCCCCACAAGACAGGCUCACUCUCUCACAGUUCCAGAAACAGUUGCUGGAAGACUAUGGCGAGUCCCACUUUACGGUGAACCAGCAACCCUUCCUUUACUUCCAAGUCCUGUUCCUGACAGCGCAGUUUGAAGCAGCAAUUGCCUUUCUUUUCCGCAUGGAGCGGCUGCGCUGCCACGCUGUCCAUGUAGCACUGGUGCUGUUUGAGCUGAAGCUGCUUUUAAAGUCCUCUGG
rnacentral:sRNA from 1 species